rnacentral:rRNA from 1 species
UACGUAGGGGGCGAGCGUUGUCCGGAUUCAUUGGGUGUAAAGAGCUCGUAGGCGGCUUGGCAAGUCGGGUGUGAAAACUUCAGGCUCAACCUAGAGCGGCCACUCGAUACUGCCAUGGCCUGAGUCCGGUAGGGGACCACGGAAUUCCUGGUGUAGCGGUGAAAUGCGCAGAUAUCAGGAGGAACACCGGUGGCGAAGGCGGUGGUCUGGGCCGGAACUGACGCUGAGGAGCGAAAGCGUGGGGAGCGAACAGG